GAUGAACGCUGGCGGCGUGCCUAAUACAUGCAAGUCGAGCGAACAGACGAGGAGCUUGCUCCUCUGACGUUAGCGGCGGACGGGUGAGUAACACGUGGAUAACCUACCUAUAAGACUGGGAUAACUUCGGGAAACCGGAGCUAAUACCGGAUAAUAUAUUGAACCGCAUGGUUCAAUAGUGAAAGACGGUUUUGCUGUCACUUAUAGAUGGAUCCGCGCCGCAUUAGCUAGUUGGUAAGGUAACGGCUUACCAAGGCAACGACGCGUAGCCGACCUGAGAGGGUGAUCGGCCACACUGGAACUGAGACACGGUCCAGACUCCUACGGGAGGCAGCAGUAGGGAAUCUUCCGCAAUGGGCGAAAGCCUGACGGAGCAACGCCGCGUGAGUGAUGAAGGUCUUCGGAUCGUAAAACUCUGUUAUUAGGGAAGAACAAAUGUGUAAGUAACUAUGCACGUCUUGACGGUACCUAAUCAGAAAGCCGCGGCUAACUACGUG
rnacentral:rRNA from 1 species